rnacentral:lncRNA from 1 species
ACCUCUUCACGAACUCAAACAGCUUGCUAAACCAAUGAAGCACUCGAUAGUGUUGAGAUUUCGCUUUUUUGUGUGUGUUUCUUGAGGAGAUUGUAAACUUCACUCCUGAGUAAAUAAUCAAUCUCCUUUAACUUGAAAAAAAUUUCUUUCCAAAACCUUGUGGCUCCAUAUCUGCCGAAUCCAGCAAUUAACACUAUUCUACCUCCAAGCAUUCCAACCACUUCUCUUAUACAUGACGUUGCUCAGUUAUAGUGUAAUUCGUCGUGAUCCAAUCACGUCUCCUCCCCCCUCCAACACCAUUCCUACACCUAAGCACCCGCAUCGUCCCCUUUUUCAAGUUGGAUCCAGAUGUCGCAACACGAUGCGUCGCCCCCUCGCUCGCCA